GACGAACGCUGGCGGCGUGCUUAGCACAUGCAAGUCGAACGGAAAGGCCCUGCUUUUGUGGGGUGCUCGAGUGGCGAACGGGUGAGUAACACGUGAGUAACCUGCCCUUGACUUUGGGAUAACUUCAGGAAACUGGGGCUAAUACCGGAUAGGAGCUCCUGCUGCAUGGUGGGGGUUGGAAAGUUUCGGCGGUUGGGGAUGGACUCGCGGCUUAUCAGCUUGUUGGUGGGGUAGUGGCUUACCAAGGCUUUGACGGGUAGCCGGCCUGAGAGGGUGACCGGUCACAUUGGGACUGAGAUACGGCCCAGACUCCUACGGGAGGCAGCAGUGGGGAAUAUUGCACAAUGGGCGGAAGCCUGAUGCAGCAACGCCGCGUGCGGGAUGACGGCCUUCGGGUUGUAAACCGCUUUCGCCUGUGACGAAGCGUGAGUGACGGUAAUGGGUAAAGAAGCACCGGCUAACUACGUG
rnacentral:rRNA from 1 species